rnacentral:rRNA from 1 species
GUGGGGAAUCUUCCGCAAUGGACGAAAGUCUGACGGAGCAACGCCGCGUGAGUGAUGAAGGUCUUCGGAUUGUAAAGCUCUGUUAAUCGGGACGAAAGAGCCUAGUGUGAAUAAUGCUAGGAAGUGACGGUACCGGAAUAGAAAGCCACGGCUAACUACGUGCCAGCAGCCGCGGUAAUACGUAGGUGGCAAGCGUUGUCCGGAAUUAUUGGGCGUAAAGCGCGCGCAGGCGGAUCUGCCAGUCUGUCUUAAAAGGUCGGGGCUUAACCCCGUGAUGGGAUGGAAACUACAGAUCUAGAGUAUCGGAGAGGAAAGUGGAAUUCCUAGUGUAGCGGUGAAAUGCGUAGAUAUUAGGAAGAACACCAGUGGCGAAGGCGACUUUCUGGACGAAAACUGACGCUGAGGCGCGAAAGCCAGGGGAGCGAACGGGAUUAGAUACCCUAGUAGUCC